UGAUGCGCCAUGCCGCGUGUAUGAAGAAGGCCUUCGGGUUGUAAAGUACUUUCAGUUGUGAGGAAGGGGGUAGCGUUAAUAGCGCUAUCUCUUGACGUUAGCAACAGAAGAAGCACCGGCUAACUCCGUGCCAGCAGCCGCGGUAAUACGGAGGGUGCGAGCGUUAAUCGGAAUUACUGGGCGUAAAGCGCAUGCAGGUGGUUCAUUAAGUCAGAUGUGAAAGCCCGGGGCUCAACCUCGGAACUGCAUUUGAAACUGGUGAACUAGAGUACUGUAGAGGGGGGUAGAAUUUCAGGUGUAGCGGUGAAAUGCGUAGAGAUCUGAAGGAAUACCAGUGGCGAAGGCGGCCCCCUGGACAGAUACUGACACUCAGAUGCGAAAGCGUGGGGAGCAAACAGGAUUAGAUACCCUGGUAGUCCACGCCGUAAACGAUGUCUACUUGGAGGUUGUGGCCUUGAGCCGUGGCUUUCGGAGCUAACGCGUUAAGUAGACCGCCUGGGGAGUACGGUCGCAAGAUUAAAACUCAAAUGAAUUGACGGGGGCCCGCACAAGCGGUGGAGCAUGUGGUUUAAUUCGAUGCAACGCGAAGAACCUUACCUACUCUUGACAUCCAGAGAAGCCAGCGGAGACGCAGGUGUGCCUUCGGGAGCUCUGAGACAGGUGCUGCAUGGCUGUCGUCAGCUCGUGUUGUGAAAUGUUGGGUUAAGUCCCGCAACGAGCGCAACCCUUAUCCUUGUUUGCCAGCGAGUAAUGUCGGGAACUCCAGGGAGACUGCCGGUGAUAAACCGGAGGAAGGUGGGGACGACGUCAAGUCAUCAUGGCCCUUACGAGUAGGGCUACACACGUGCUACAAUGGCGCAUACAGAGGGCAGCAAGCUAGCGAUAGUGAGCGAAUCCCAAAAAGUGCGUCGUAGUCCGGAUUGGAGUCUGCAACUCGACUCCAUGAAGUCGGAAUCGCUAGUAAUCGUAGAUCAGAAUGCUACGGUGAAUACGUUCCCGGGCCUUGUACACACCGCCCGUCACACCAUGGGAGUGGGCUGCAAAAGAAGUGGGUAGUUUAACCUUUCGGGGAGGACGCUCACCACUUUGUGGUCAUGACUGGGUGAUGUCU
rnacentral:rRNA from 1 species